AUGGCCAACAGCUGCAGAGAACACAAGCGCGGCGUUCCACGUCCCCCACCAUUGUCACUCUUCAUCGGUAGGGAGCAAGAGCCAGCGGUCGCGCGGACACACCCGGCUGCUGCCGACAACAGCAACAAGAAGAGGAUGUUGUCCAAGCAGCUGUCCAUGAAGGAGACCACCCGAGAGGUCAAGUGGGAGAAGCGGCGGCGACAGAUACAACGGCAAAGGAGUAGCAUGGGCCUGUACGACGCCGACCGUGUGGGAUGCGCUAACACGCACGCCACUUCGAACGGUGUGACCGACGAGGACCUGGAUGAGCUCAAGGGAUCCAUGGAGCUUGGCUUCGGGUUCAACGAGGAGAACGGAGGCCAGAACCUCUGCGACACGCUCCCCGCCCUCGACCUGUAUUUCGCUGUCAACCGGCAGCUGUCCGAGCCGAAGAUGCGGGCGUGCAGUCGCUCGUUGCCUUCCCUUUCUGUGGUGACCUCCUCAUCAUCCAUGCACUCCGGCACGCCGAGCCCGGCCGGCAGUCCUACCGCUCAGCCCUCCCUCCUUGACUCGUUGAAAAUUAGCAGUCCAGCAGGCGAGAACCCACAGCUUAUCAAGACAAGGCUAAGGCAGUGGGCUCAGGUAGUGGCUUGUUCAGUGAAGCACUCUAGCUGA
rnacentral:rRNA from 1 species